GGGGAUAUAGCUCAGUGGUAGAGCACGUGCCCAGCAUGCACAAGGCCCUGGGUUCUGUCUCCCCA
rnacentral:tRNA from 1 species